UACGUAGGGUGCGAGCGUUAAUCGGAAUUACUGGGCGUAAAGCGCGUGUAGGCGGCUCGGCAAGUCGGACGUGAAAGCCCGGGGCUCAACCCCGGAAGUGCGCUCGAAACUGCCAAGCUCGAGUCCUGGAGAGGAAGGCGGAAUUCUCGGUGUAGAGGUGAAAUUCGUAGAUAUCGAGAGGAACACCGGUGGCGAAGGCGGCCUUCUGGACAGUGACUGACGCUGAGACGCGAAAGCGUGGGGAGCAAACAGG
rnacentral:rRNA from 1 species